rnacentral:rRNA from 1 species
AUUGAACGCUGGCGGAAUGCUUUACACAUGCAAGUCGAAUGGCAGCACGGGGGCAGCCCUGGUGGCGAGUGGCGAACGGGUGAGUAAUACAUCGGAACGUGCCCGGUCGUGGGGGAUAACGUAGCGAAAGUUACGCUAAUACCGCAUACGAUCUGAGGAUGAAAGCGGGGGACCUUCGGGCCUCGCGCGAUCGGAGCGGCCGAUGUCAGAUUAGGUAGUUGGUGGGGUAAAGGCCUACCAAGCCGACGAUCUGUAGCUGGUCUGAGAGGACGACCAGCCACACUGGGACUGAGACACGGCCCAGACUCCUACGGGAGGCAGCAGUGGGGAAUUUUGGACAAUGGGCGCAAGCCUGAUCCAGCCAUUCCGCGUGCAGGACGAAGGCCUUCGGGUUGUAAACUGCUUUUGUACGGAACGAAAAGGCUCUGGCUAGUACCUGGGGCUCAUGACGGUACCGUAAGAAUAAGCACCGGCUAACUACGUG